UGGCGCGCCUCACCCCGGGCGACCCCGGAAGUGGGUCGGGGGCUUGGCCUCUGCCCGGCCUCGGAGCCGGCGCGGGAGGUGUAACCCCGGAGGGGUCCGGCCGAGCGAUCCCGUCCAGCGGCGGACCCUAGGCAGGGCCCGGGCCGGGGGUCCAGGAUGCUGAACAUCCCUUCCCAGUCUUUCCCAGCCCCCCGCUCGCAGCAGCGCGCCGCCUCCGGGGGGCGUAGCAAGGUACCUCUAAAACAGGGCAGAAGUCUUAUGGAUUGGAUUAGACUGACCAAAAGUGGAAAGGACUUAACAGGAUUAAAAGGCAGGUUAAUUGAAGUAACUGAAGAAGAACUUAAAAAACACAACAAAAAAGAUGAUUGUUGGAUAUGCAUAAGAGGGUUUGUUUACAAUGUUAGCCCAUAUAUGGAGUAUCAUCCUGGUGGAGAAGAUGAAUUAAUGAAAGCAGCAGGCUCAGAUGGAACAGACCUUUUUGAUCAGGUUCAUCGUUGGGUCAAUUAUGAAUCCAUGCUGAAAGAAUGCCUGGUCGGCAGGAUGGCAGUGAAACCUGCUGUUCCCAAAGACUAUCAUGAGGAAAAGAAAGUCUUAAAUGGCAUGCUUCCCAAGAGCCAAGUACCAGAUGCACUUGCCAAAGACGGCCCGGUUUCUCCAAGCUAUGACUGGUUCCAAACAGACUCUUUAGUCACCAUUGUCAUAUAUACUAAGCAGAAGGAUGUCAAUUUAGACUCAGUAAGAGUUGAUCAUCAGUAUGAUUCCUUUAGAGCAGAAACUAUCAUCAAGGAUUAUUCAUAUCUUAUACAUAUUGAGCUAAGCCAUGCGAUUCAAGAAGAUUUUUCUGUGCGGGUUGUUGCAAAUGUGGGAAAGAUAGAGAUUGUCCUAAAGAAAAAAGAGAAUACUUCUUGGGAAUGUCUUGGUAAUCCCCUGGAGAACCACAAUUCACUUAUUCCAAAGAAAGAUACAGGUUUGUACUACAGAAAGUGCCAGUUAAUUUCCAAGGAAGAUGCCACUCAUGAUACGAAGCUUUUCUGCUUGAUGCUGCCACCAAGCACUCACCUUCAGGUGCCAAUUGGGCAACAUGUUUACCUCAAGCUAACUAUUGCAGGUACUGAAAUAGUGAAGCCAUAUACACCUGUAUCUGCUUCCUUACUCUCAGAGUUUAAGGAACCAGUUAUUCCCAAUAAUAAAUACAUCUACUUUCUGAUCAAAAUCUAUCCUGCUGGACUCUUUACACCAGAGCUUGAUCAUCUUCAGAUUGGAGAUUUUGUUUCCGUAAGCAAUCCUGAAGGCAAUUUUAAAAUAUCCCAGUUCCAAGAAUUGGAAGAUCUCUUUUUAUUGGCAGCUGGAACAGGCUUCACACCAAUGGUUAAAAUACUAAAUUAUGCUUUGACCAAUAUAUCCAGUCUCAGGAAGGUGAAGCUGAUGUUCUUCAAUAAAACAGAGGAUGAUAUAAUUUGGAGAAGCCAAUUGGAGAAAUUAGCAUUUAAAGAUAAAAGGCAAACCAUUCGGAGACCCAAUUUUCCACUUCUUUGUACGUUUUGAAGUGCUGCUCAGAAAGUGGGUGUGCCAUCGAUCGGAACAGUGGUAAUCUGAAGGAGCAAGGUCUAGUGAAUACAGCGGGUGGGUUAAUACUUCCCAGGCAAGAUCUUUUAAUGUAUCUUUAACUGGUUUUGCAGUAUAUGAUGGUGCAUUAUCAUGAAGCAAAAUUACUUUGCCAUGUCUUCUGGCACAUUCUGGUCAUUUCACGAUCAAAGCAUGGUUCAAAUUGAUUAUUUGUUGUCGGUAGCGAUCAGUAUUAACGGUUUCACCUGGUUUUAGAAGCUCAUUAUACACCACACCUUCCUAAUCCCACCAAACACAGAGCAUUGUCUUCUUUACGAAGAGAUUUGGCCUUGCAGUUGAUGUUGAUGGGUGACCUGAAUCAACCCAUGAUUUUGUGCAUUUGGGAUUCUCAAAAUCCACUUUUCAUCGCCAGUCACAAUUCGAUGCAAAAAAGACUUUCUUUGGUGCCAUUGAAGCAACAUUUUACUAAUGACUUUUCGGUUUUCCAUUUGUCUUUCGUUUAGUUGAUGCGGCACCUAUUUUCCUUCCUUUAAAAUAUUUCCCAUUGCUUGUAAACUAUUGGAAAUUAUUUGCUGAGCAACAUUUAAUCUUUCUGCAAGUUGUUUUUGAGUUUGACAUGCAUCUUCACCCAAUAAUGCUUGUAAUUGUUGGUCUUCAAACUUUUUCGGUUGACCUGGAUGCUCUUUGUCUUUCACAUCGAAACCAUCACUUUUAAAGCAUUCAUAAGUAUCUCGAGAUGAAGCAUGUUCACCAUAAGCUCCUGGAAAUAUUCAGCAGCACUUUUUUUCUAAAUAAAGUAAUGAAUUAUAACUUCCCGCAAAUGCUCUUUCUUUGACAUGAAGUUGGACAUUUUUAAGUGUAAAAAUAUCUAUGAUGUUAACACCUUCAGCAAAUUCGACAUAUGAAGUUUUGAAGCUUGUUGUCAAUACAAUAAAAUAGCAUACAUGUGAAAUCGCAUAUAGUAAGUAUAUCAACAUAUGUUGCAGUCUCAAUCCUGCAACAUUAACCGGUACACCUAUUAUUUAUUCUUCUUACAUAGUCAAGACAUAAACCUAAGAAUAUUUACAAUAUGUAGGUAAUUAUAUGGCAAUUAGAGGAUGAUUUAGAAAGAAAUACAAAGUCCUAGGUUUUCAAGUGUCUUUUACACUAGUUUUCGAAGUGGAAGAUUGAAAGUAGCACUUAUUGAAAAGCCUAAAAACCUAAAUUCUAGUUUUUAUUCUACCUUUACUAGCUUGAAACUUUAUUCAAAAAUUACUUAGUUUUGUGGACCUGUCUCUUUAGCUUCAAAUAAAAUGAUUCUUUCCUACUUUCCUACUUCAUAAGGCUAUUGUGAGGAUUAGAAAAGGGUAAAUGCUUUGGAAACUGUGACGCCUACCUCAGAUAUUUGAAUUGUGGUUAUGGAGGACCUUUGUCUACAUGUGUUUCGUUUCUGUAUUAUCCAAGUUUCUGUUUUCCUAAGCAUUUAAAAUAAUUUAAACACACCUAGAUAGGUUUUUUUUAGUUAGGUUUUUUAAAAAGUAUUUUUGGCUAUGUUUUUAUAUUCUCUAAGAUAGUUCCUUUAUAAAGAAGAGUCAAUUUACUAACAUUUUAAUGAACAGACAUGUACUUUCAGUCAAUAGGAGUGAAUUUUGAUUUAAGAAGUAAUUAGUAAAUCGGAGUGUGUUGAUAGAUAGCCUCCGAGAAUGAAGUGUCUUUUGACAGAGUCACCUGUGUGUUUUGUUCUGUUUUGUUCCCGCCUACAUAAUUUGGGUGGUGGAAUGGCAUAGUCUGUGGUGUGGAGGAUGAGGAAAGGCCUCUCUUUCCCUCACCUGGAUGCCUGGCUCUAGCAGCACUCCCCAGAUUUGAUGUUGAAUUUGUUCUCUCAAAACCUACUUCUGAAUGGAAUGGGAAAAAGGGACACAUUUCAUUAGAUCUUCUUUCUGAAUUUAUAAAAAGAAGUUUAGACAAAUCCAAAGUUCUCAUCUGCAUUUGUGGACCAGUG